UGAUACUAUCUUCAUUAACAAAUCUCGUCGAUGACGUAUUUCCUUUUUCGCUCACCGGUCUGCUGCUGGUUCUACGUUUUAUGAGUUUUAGUCGGUUUUAGUAGUGAUUUGUUAUGUGCAUUUUUGAUAGAAAAAUUUAAAAAAUACAGGCUUUACAAUACCAAGGGUCUUAAAAAUAGAUUAUGCUGCAACGUAAUAAUAUUAAUACUGCGAAGAGCUUUUGUGAAUGUAACGUUCCUUCCACACUAAUAAAGAGCCUCGAAAUAUUUUGGAUUAUCCAACAAAUGAAAGAACAAUUAAAGUCUACAUGAAUGGCGUCUAUCCUGAACUACAUUCUUGAUUUGCUGUUUUCGUCUUCACCUUGCAACGCUAUACAGAUAAUUUUUAAUUAUGGGUGAAAGCAACUGA